rnacentral:rRNA from 1 species
AGCGAACGCUGGCGGCAGGCUUAACACAUGCAAGUCGAACGGUCCUUCGGGAUAGUGGCGGACGGGUGAGUAACACGUGGGAACGUACCCUUAGGUUCGGAACAACACAGGGAAACUUGUGCUAAUACCGGAUAAGCCCUUCGGGGGAAAGAUUUAUCGCCUUUGGAGCGGCCCGCGUCUGAUUAGCUUGUUGGUGAGGUAAUGGCUCACCAAGGCUACGAUCAGUAGCUGGCCUGAGAGGAUGGCCAGCCACACUGGGACUGAGACACGGCCCAGACUCCUACGGGAGGCAGCAGUGGGGAAUCUUGCGCAAUGGGCGAAAGCCUGACGCGGCCAUGCCGCGUGGAUGAUGAAGGUCUUAGGAUUGUAAAAUCCUUUCACCGGGGACGAUAAUGACGGUACCCGGAGAAGAAGCCCCGGCUAACUUCGUGCCAGCCGCCGCUGUAA